rnacentral:rRNA from 1 species
AUGAUCUAUGGAUGCAACGCGCACGUACACAGAUUAGAUGUAUUUUUUCUGGCAGCAGCGUGUAUAUCGAUUUAUUUCUUUACAGUACAUUGUGUAAAGAGUGUUCGUUCUACGAUGCAAUACACAGACGAGUUUUCAGCUUCAAAUCCCAACAACGUCCGGGCCUGCUACUGCUACUCUAGUUGGCUGUCGAGCGCCCGCAAGAAAUGGGGCGACGACCUCUCAGUCGAUGGGGAGGGAGCGCGCGCGCUUUGUAUGGCGCCUUCAUCGACGCGCAGGAACCUCCUGGCCGUCAGGCUGUGCGGCGGCGGAGCGCACAGUGCCGGCCGUGUCGGCGAGGCCGUUCAGGGCGGCCGCGCCGGCUGUGUCGUCGAAGAAAACGCACACGGCGUUCAGGCCCAUGGAGGCGAGCGUCUGCUCGCCCUCAGCCGGGCGCUCGGGCUGCAGUUGGACAUGGACGCAGGGUUGGUUCCACUGUUCCUGUGCGCCACGGUCGGGACGACCCAGAUCGCCGCCGUCGACCCCGUCGGCGAGCUGGGCGCCGUCGCAGCACCACACGGCGUGCGGGCGCACGGGGACGCCGCAUGCGCCGGCUCAGCGCUGAUAUGCCCCGAAUGCACCCGCGUGGAGGCCCCGGCGAAACGGCGUGGAGGCCGUGGAGUCGUUCAGUAUGAACGCCCACAAGUGGCUGGUCUCGAACAAGGCAAGGCAGCAACCACUGCUGCGCCGUGUGGGUGA